rnacentral:misc_RNA from 1 species
CAUGAAACAGGAACAAGAUCUUAGAAGGAAAUAUACUCAAAAUUUCAUAAACUUAAAUAAGUUGAGCAGUGACCAAGACUGUGUGUAAAGUGAUUUAACCCAGGUAAAGGAACAACCAACAGAGCUAUAUGUCAUUGCCCAUCAAGUAAUUUGGUCCCGACAUAAUUGCUCAAUUACUCCACUAUCCUCAAAAAGAGGCUAGAGAACCAUGACAAUACCUUCUGUAGCCAUAUCCAAAACUGGCAAAAUGCUGUCCAAAACAAAAAUGAAAAAAACUGAUGCAAAUAAACAAAACUAUUUCAUCCGUGCUCAUCAAAUGCACUCUACUUUCCCUUCUUCUGGGCAGCCUUGGUGACCUUGGCACCAGUUGGGUCCUUCUUGUCAACAUUCUUGACAACACCGACAGCAACAGUCUGCCUCAUGUCCCUCACAGCAAACCUCCCUAGUGGAGGAUACUCAGAGAAGGUCUCAACCACCAUCGGCUUAGUCGGAAUCAUCUUCACCAUACCAGCAUCACCAUUCUUCAGAAACUUGGGUUCCUUCUCCAGUUCCUUACCCGAUCGCCUGUCAAUCUUGGUCAGGAUCUCAGCAAACUUAACAGCUAUGUGGCAGGUGUGACAAUCAAGGACAGGAGCAUAACCAUUCCCAAUCUGCCCUGGAUGGUUCAUGAUGAUGACUUGGGAGGUGAAGUUCGCUGCCUCCUUGGCCGGAUCAUCCUUCGAGUUUGAUGCAACAAAGCCACGCUUCAGAUCCUUGACAGCAACAUUCUUAACAUUGAAC